rnacentral:rRNA from 1 species
UACGAGUGCCUCAAGCGUUAUCCGGAAUCAUUGGGCGUAAAGGAUGUGUAGGUGGCUGUGUUAGUCUCUCGUUAAAUUCUUCGGCUUAACCGGGGGUCUGCGGGGGAAACGGCACAACUAGAGGAUGCAAGGGGUCUGCGGAACUCAUAGUGUAGCGGUGAAAUGCGUUGAUAUUAUGGGGAACACCAAAAGCGAAGGCAGCAGACUAGGGCACUCCUGACACUGAAACAUGAAAGCGUGGGGAGCGAACAGG